rnacentral:rRNA from 1 species
UACGUAGGGGGCAAGCGUUGUCCGGAAUUAUUGGGCGUAAAGCGCGCGCAGGCGGUUUUUUAAGUCUGGGGUUUAAACCCGAGGCUCAACUUCGGGUCGCAUCGGAAACUGGGAGACUGGAGUGUAGGAGAGGGAAGUGGAAUUCCACGUGUAGCGGUGAAAUGCGUAGAGAUGUGGAGGAACACCAGUGGCGAAGGCGACUUCCUGGCCUAUAACUGACGCUGAGGCGCGAAAGCGUGGGGAGCAAACAGG